AGUGAACGCUGGCGGUAGGCCUAACACAUGCAAGUCGAACGGCAGCACAGUAAGAGCUUGCUCUUACGGGUGGCGAGUGGCGGACGGGUGAGGAAUACAUCGGAAUCUACUUUUUCGUGGGGGAUAACGUAGGGAAACUUACGCUAAUACCGCAUACGACCUACGGGUGAAAGCAGGGGAUCUUCGGACCUUGCGCGAUUGAAUGAGCCGAUGUCGGAUUAGCUAGUUGGCGGGGUAAAGGCCCACCAAGUCGACGAUCGGUAGCUGGUCUGAGAGGAUGGUCGGCCACACUGGAACUGGGCCGCGGUCCAGGCUCCUACGGGAGGCAGCAGUGGGGAAUAUUGGACAAAGGGCGCAAGCCUGAUCCAGCCAUACCGCGUGGGUUAAGAAGGCCUUCGGGUUGUAAAGCCCUUUUGUUGGGAAAGAAAAGCAGCAGGUUAAUACCCCGCUGUUCUGACGGUACCCAAAGAAUAAGCACCGGCUAACUUCGUG
rnacentral:rRNA from 1 species